UAUUGCACAAUGGGGGAAACCCUGAUGCAGCGACGCCGCGUGAGCGAAGAAGUGUUUCGGUAUGUAAAGCUCUAUCAGCAGGGAAGAAAAUGACGGUACCUGACUAAGUAGCCCCGGCUAAAUACGUGCCAGCAGCCGCGGUAAUACGUAUGGGGCAAGCGUUAUCCGGAUUUACUGGGUGUAAAGGGAGCGCAGGCGGCUUGGCAAGUCUGAUGUGAAAGGCUGGGGCUCAACCCCAGGACUGCAUUGGAAACUGUUAGGCUGGAGUGUCGGAGAGGUAUGCGGAAUUCCUAGUGUAGCGGUGAAAUGCGUAGAUAUUAGGAGGAACACCAGUGGCGAAGGCGGCUUACUGGACGACAACUGACGCUGAGGCUCGAAAGCGUGGGGAGCAAACAGG
rnacentral:rRNA from 1 species